UACGGAGGGAGCUAGCGUUGUUCGGAUAUACUGGGCGUAAAGCGCACGUAGGCGGCGCCGUAAGUCAGGGGUGAAAUCCCGGAGCUCAACUCCGGAACUGCCCUUGAAACUGCAGUGCUAGAAUUCUGGAGAGGCGAGUGGAAUUCCGAGUGUAGAGGUGAAAUUCGUAGAUAUUCGGAAGAACACCAGUGGCGAAGGCGGCUCACUGGACCGGCAUUGACGCUGAGGUGCGAAAGCGUGGGGAGCAAACAGG
rnacentral:rRNA from 1 species